GAGAAAGAAAUAAACUACUCGAAAAGAACUUUACCUGCAUUUUUGCGUCGUCGGAGCCUCCAUCCUUUCUGCUUCUAAUCGGAAUAGGGUGGGCAACGGCUGAGUUGAAAGCGGCGCAGAGAGGAGAGCAUUCGGGCUCUUUUUUUUUUCCUUUAUUUAUCUUUUUUUCUUUUCGUUUUAAAAAAAUGAAAUGGUGGCUGCCAGAUUAGGGUUUUAUUUUUGGCCCUUCCGUGAUGUAUGAAACGACACCGUUUGGAGUCUGAUCAGUGGCUCCAAAACGACACCGUAUUGGCCCAUACCCGAUGACCCGGUCCAACUAG
rnacentral:lncRNA from 1 species